CUUCCCCUCAAAGCCACAUGCAAAGCAGCUCCACCUUGGACGGCGAAGACUCUCUACCAGGGUCCAUUUUUCUGUGUCAGGAUCAUACAUCUCUGCACUUGAGAGACCAUCGCCAUCCAUUCCAUAGCCCCCAACAGCAUAAACUUUGCCAUUAACCUCUGCACAUGCAAAAUCAUAGCGUGCAACAUUCAUGUUUGACAAUUUGCUCCAACUAUUGAGGAAAGAAUCAUAUUCAUAAACAUCAGCAGAGGCAGAGCCAUUCCCAUCAAUAACUGAAUAACCAGCCAUGACAAGAAGCUUGCCAUUUAGAACAACUACCCCAAAGCCAGCCUUCACA
rnacentral:misc_RNA from 1 species